GCCAAAGAAAUUCGCCAGCCACCGCGGCCAUCUGGUCAUCUCAUGUGAUAACUUCGAUUACUCGCGGAAGUACGUGCCAGUGGUUCAGCCAGUCCAGUUUACGAUCGCGUUAGUGUACGUACACGUGGUAGUUCAUGCCGAUAAAAUCUGCACCUAGGAAGAUUUUCCUGAGGGAGAAGAAUCAUGGGAGUCUACCUCUGUUACAUCAACACCCUAAAGCAUUAAUUUCACCCCUGAUGAAGAGUUGACCUCGAUUAUUAACGAGGUUGCAAAACGGCAUGCUAGAAAAAGAGCUGUCGGUUGUUUUUGAAGAACAUCAUGAAUUACAGCAGAGAAUUACUUAUGUUAAACAAAAAACUUUUUACUAUUAAUCUAUUGGGACUACAAAGUACAAAGAUUCUUGGUAUUAUUCUAUUGGAGAAUAAUACUACAAACAAAAAACUAGAUCCUAGACCCAGACGAUUUUUAGUUAGAACAGUAAUUACUUUCACAAUAUAAAGAAUAUUUCAGAAUGAACUCUGAUACACUCUCUAUAAAGAGCGGCAAAGUAAAUUGUUACGGUAAAUUCCAACAGAGCAGAAAGACACAUAUUUCAUAUGAAAUCACCAAAGGCCCAAAUCGUCCGAAAAGAAAUCCAAGCGAAAAAUUCUCUGCCGAAUACUGUAAUAAAUCAAUGUUUUAAACAAUCAUAAAGUGAGAAAGAGGUGAAAGAAUCAAGACAAGAAGAUGAUCAAGAGGAUAGGAGUUUCAUUUAUUGAAAAAUCUUGUGGAAACGCAAGGAAGAGUCUUGGAAUCAUAGGAAGAUUAUAAAGAAACGUAUGAGUUGCGAAAAAAGAAAUUCGAAAACUGUUCACCCCAAUGAAAUUUUUGAACUAGUUGCUUCAUUCAAAACACAACUUGGCCAGUGUUGAUGGAUACCGACUUCAAUCCUGCAUAUCCUUAGGAGGAAGAUAUUAUAUAGAAAAAUUUUCCAGCCAUUCUGCUGCUUUAUUGGAGGAAGAUAAAGAUAGAAAAGUAGAUGUCGAUGUUGGUAAGUCCAUUAUUAUUAUACAUAUUAUACAAGGAGAGCAAAAUAUCAAAUUUUUAUGGAAUUAGUUUCUGAAACCUGAAACUAAGGAUUUCCACUCCGUUCGGUCAAUUUCUGAUGUAAUUACCACUAACUCUCAAUUCAAGUUCAGUCUCAUACACGGGUUUUGAUCUCAAUAUCUUGGAAACGAGAAAAAGUGAACACUGCAUCUCGAUAUAGCUCAGACUGUUAUGCUAGGCAUGCUGAUUUGCUCUUUGGCUUUGUUGGUAAAAUUCUUUACCCUUGAAUAUUUACACACGAGACUUAAGCAUUUUAAUUUCGAUCCUGAUGUAUCUAAUAAACCACCGAUUAUUAUUAUGCAGCAAUAUACGAAUGUCAGCAUCUGAAAUGAAUUGUUUCCUCAUCAGGGCUGCAGGUUUUCUUAUCGGUGACAUGAUUCCUCUCAACGAUAACUAAUGGAAAAUUUACAUUUUACUUCGAAAAAUACUUUUUAUUGUCGAUGCUUCUGAAAUAACACCGAAUAAUAUAAAAGAAUAGAAAAUAUUAGAUGAAAAACAUAAUCAAAUUAAUAUCAUUAUUUCUGAAUUUCUCACUCCAAAACUUCACCUUCUUCAUCAAUAUCCUUAUACUAUAUGCUAUGUAUUUAUUAUCUAUUUUUUCUUUAGUUUAAGGGGCGUAGAGAAAUUGAUAGUAAGAUUUUCUCUCUUAUUUAUUUCAUCUUAAGUCAACGUUUCCACCCUGAUUAGGGUCUUCUUCAGGACUCUAAAAUAAAUUUACAUUAGAAUAAGUACACACGAAAACUCACAUGAUACAUACCGAAACACAAAGAGCAACAAUCUUGAACAAUUUGAAAAUGCGGCAUGAGUGUGAACAGGCAACAUGCAACUAGUAACAAAUACAAAACAGUUAGAAUUGGGUACAAGGCUGCUUAAAAUUGUAGUUCGUCUGGGUUGAAGCGGCAGCACAUGCGGAAAAUUCCAGAACGCCAUAAAAUCGGGAACUAGGUUAGGCCACAGAGAACGGUUCAAGUCACCGCGUCAGCACCAAGAAGCAUAGAACUCAUGGUUAGGGGGCGAUGAGGUUCCUUCAAACUGAUCAGGUACGAGUAUAUAUUGCUUAUACCCUCGAUGUCCCUUCUAUAGUUCAUAGAGUUGUUGUGGCUCUUGAUGUGGAACAUUUCAAGAAAACAUCUCUUUCUUGUGUUGUUCUCGAAAUCUAAUACUUCUACGCCACCGUAGUCCAUUCGGUGGUCUUUUUCUCCGGACAUGCUCCGCAUUAUCUAUGAGAUAUGAGACAAAGCAUAGUCAAUCGAAAAUUAAGCACCUGCCGUGUUAACACACCUAAAUCUGUUUCUAUUCGGUAUCAACUAAAAAUGAGAGAGAUUUUUCAAAAGCCGAGGAGAUGAUUCAGAAGUCGAAAUUUUUGUUGACGAAUGUGACGAGUUAAAUAUUUCCUCAGAUUUACCCAUUUUGCUGAAGCUCUUCUCUGAAUUCCCUAAAAUUGAAAAUAUGCGAAGCAUUUGAUGUUAAUUGAUUGAUUUUUAUUUUUUUUUAUUUAUUCAGAGUUUGGGAAGCAAACAGGAAAUUUCCCAGAAUAGUAUCCUCGAUUACAAUUAAGUCUACACCGUUGUAAUGG